AGACAGGAUUUCUUUCUGUAGCCCUGGUUGUUCUGGAACUUGCUCUGUAGACUAUACUGGAUUUAAACUUAUAGAGAUCCCCCUGCCUCCUAAUUGCUGGGAUUAAAGCCCCCUACAGACCUCCACAGGACCUUUUUCAAGCACUUACUGUCAGAGAGCCACAUGCCUUGGGGAAUGCAGACUCAGAUCUGAGAAACUCGAGGCACGUAUUUCGCCUAACGCCAUCGCCAUCGGUAUUUCCGGUCUCUCUGUCACUUCAGGAGUGAACUGGACGUGUCUCAAGAUGUUUUCCUCUCUGAAUGUGGUUGUUUGAGGAUGCUGAGAUCAGGAAAAAUCCAGAGAGAUAAGAGUAGAUGCCAGAGGCUAGGGAAGUCGGGCUUGUGGGCAAGGAGAGUGUUGCCUUGCUCUCUGCCUCUGGUGAAGCUCCAUGCAGAUGCUCCUCCAGUCAACAGAUAUACUGAAAAUACUGGCUGGUGCCCAGGACCCAGGCUAGGAAGCAAGAAUCUCCAAGAGAAGACUUUGAUCAAAAGACCGUUCUCAUUUGCUUCCCAGUAACUCCAUUAUUUGCUCCUGCCCCUCCCUAAGAGACUUAAAAAGCACUGUCAUUUUCUGAAUUCAGUUACUUCUGGGUCUGGGAGAUGUUACGUCAUGCUCUUAAUGCACUGGGCGGCGGCGAAGCCAGAUGGCUGUCUCCCUUUCUGGUUCAGCUCUUGGCUCAAAGCAAGGUCUUUGCCCUUCUGCCUUUGGUUUUCAUCAUUUGCCUCCUCAGAAAGCUGUCUAUUGCAAAGCUGCCUAUUAGCCAUUUAUUUACUGGGCUCUUCUUGGGCAAAGCUCUCUGAGGUCUACUGUCAGACUGGGACAAAUAGGAGGAAGAUGUGAUCAGCACUUUUGGGGGGAACUUGUAAUGGAGGAAACGCGUGUAAAUGGGG
rnacentral:lncRNA from 1 species